AACGCGUGGGGAUCUACCAUAGGGUGCGGAAUAACUCAGAGAAAUUUGAGCUAAUACCGCAUAAUGUCUUCGGACCAAAGAUUUAUCGCCCUUUGAUGAACCCGCGUAAGAUUAGCUUGUUGGUGAGGUAAAGGCUCACCAAGGCGACGAUCUUUAGCUGGUCUGAGAGGAUGAUCAGCCACACUGGGACUGAGACACGGCCCAGACUCCUACGGGAGGCAGCAAUGGGGAAUAUUGGACAAUGGGCGAAAGCCUGAUCCAGCAAUGCCGCGUGAGUGAUGAAGGCCUUAGUGUUGUAAAGCUCUUUUACCAGGGAUGAUAAUGACAGUACCUGGAGAAUAAGCCCCGGCUAACUCCGUGCCAGCAGCCGCGGUAAUACGGAGGGAGCUAGCGUUGUUCGGAAUUACUGGGCGUAAAGCGCGCGUAGGCGGUUACUCAAGUCAGAGGUGAAAGCCCGGAGCUCAACUCCGGAACUGCCUUUGGAACUAGGUGACUAGAAUCUUGGAGAGGCGAGUGGAAUUCCGAGUGUAGAGGUGAAAUUCGUAGAUAUUCGGAAGAACACCAGUG
rnacentral:rRNA from 1 species